UACAGAGGGGGCAAGCGUUGUUCGGAAUUACUGGGCGUAAAGGGCGCGUAGGCGGCCCGCUAAGUCGAACGUGAAAUCCCCAGGCUCAACCUGGGAACUGCGUCCGAUACUGGCAGGCUUGAAUCCGGGAGAGGGAUGUGGAAUUCCAGGUGUAGCGGUGAAAUGCGUAGAGAUCAGGAAGAACACCGGUGGCGAAAGCGUUCUGCUAGACCGGUACUGACACUGAGGGACGAAAGCGAGGGGAGCGAAUGGG
rnacentral:rRNA from 1 species